CUCCCUUCGGUCGCAGGGUGAGCCCUCUGUCUGUCGUCUGAGUUACGCUGCGUGCUCAGCGGCAGACAGGGCUUUCCCUCCCGGUGCAGCAGAGCUGCAGGCUCCCUUCGGUUGCAGUGAGAGCCCUCCAUCAGAUGCAUCAAACUGCGUCUCAUAUUCAGCUGCAAGAGGGACUCUUCCUUCCGGUGCAGCAGAGCCGCAGCUCCCUUCGGACGCAGCGAGAGUCCCUCCAUCAGUCGCGUCUACUUGCUCAUUCAGCACCGGACAGGGCUCUCCCUCCCGGUGCAGCAGAGCCACAUGCUCCUUCAGUCGUAGUGACGACGCCUCCAUCCGAUGCGUCAAACCGCGUCUCAUAUUCAGCUGCAAGAGGGACUCUUCCGUCCGGUGCAGCAGAGCCGCAGCUCCCUUCGGAUGCAGCAAGAGUCCCUCAUUUGAUAUCUGCCAUCGUGCUCCUUUUAUAGCGGCAUGUAGGGCUCGCUGCGAGCUGCAGCUCCCGUCGAGCACUGCACAGGCUCUACUGGUCGCUCUGCACCUUUUCUCUUUUCAGCAUGCAUAUUUUGGGGGGCAACUAAAGAUUUUGCUCUCUGGCUGCUGUCCCAUGCCUUUAAGCUUCUUUUGGGGAGUUCUUCGGGUUCGGGCUAUAUUCCGGGCUCGGAGCCCUCCCCCAGGACAGCACGCCAAAAUAUGCUUACUAUUUGCUAACAGAUUAGAUGUAAGGGUGAACUCGUGAAUCUUAUUUAAGGAGGUGAUUUGAAUUGUGUCCUACACCCAAUUUUGGACCACUCUAGCUCUACAAUUAAUACAGCAAGUAAGUCAGCGCAGUGUAUCAACUCCUUUCUCCAGACAUAUGGUGUAAGUGACCCCUGGAGAUUCAGGUAACCAUCAUCUAAGUAGUUUUCCUUAUAUUCACUGGUACCUCAAACAUAUUCCAGGAUUGACUAUUUUCUCCUGGACAGGAAACUUCUCCCAUUAAUGUCACAAGUGAAGUAUGGCAGCAUUGCUAUUUCAGUGUUCUGAAUUAGGAGUUUAAUGCUUGUUUUGGGUGAGCUAACUGCUACAGUG
rnacentral:lncRNA from 1 species